GACAUGGGUUUGUUGGGGACGUUAGGUUUAAGAAAAAAUUCUAUCUUGCCUUUUCCCUUAAUAAAUAUUAAAGCCAACAUUUGCCUUCAUUUCGGACAGUUUGGUUUGCUGACCUGUUACUCUAAUAGGUGUUGAUUUUGGUCACCGAUAUUUUUUUUUAAGUCAAACGUCAACUUGGAGCAAAUCGAUCACUGAGCUGCACUUAUUGAAUAGUCAAAGGUCCACUGAAAGCCGCUCUCCCCUGUUCCCUUUCGUAAAAUGACCUGCCGGCCCCGGGCAGGGGCGAGGGCGGAGGAUCUGAGCUUCCAAGGAGCUGCUGGGGAAGCGCGGCGAGCGGUGCCGCCCCCUGCUGCGUUCUUGCCCGGCGUUUGGAGGUAGGAAGCUCGGGAUGCUCAAGUUCAUCCUGGUGGUGUUCAGACAGUUUUCGAUGCCUGCAACCUGUCCCCUGCGGGGCAACCGGCCUCCAACCCCCGGCUGCGCGCCAUCCCGGGACAGAAAGUUCCCUCCGACUCCAACCCCACUGUGGCCCCCGGAGCUGAGUGUCGCCCACCAGGUGACUCACCGAGAGCCGCCGCCCGCGCUGGAGUUCACCGACCGCGCAGUUGGGCGCGGCGGAACCGACCUGAGCCCUGGUCGCUCUGCCGCGCUGUCCCGGACUGGCCACCGGCCGCCAGCCCCGCGCGCUCUCACUUUCCUGCUAAGGCCUCGGGUUCGAAAAUGUGCCGAGAGAGGCGGCGAUGACCCGGGAGGGUUCAGAUAACUCAGCGGCCACCGAAGUACCGACACGCCGGGGAUGUGCUCUGCGCGACCUCCUUGUCACUACCUUGAGCCCAAGACAUUUUCCUACAAAACUAUUGAGGGGGAAAUAAUUUAGGCAGAGGAUUUUCCUCCCCCUUUUGUAUUCGCAGGAGGAAUUUCUUUCAGCUUUUCUUUUCCCCUUUCGCUGGAUGUUGUGUUUGUUCUUCGGAGUGACUUAUUCACCCUUAGUUUUUAAAAUUUAAUUAAUUAAUUGCUUUUUUUAAACUUCUAAAACAUGAGAAUGUAUUUCUGAGCCUUACUCGACCCUUUAUUUUGGAUAUGUGAGAGGGGAAACGUUAGUGUCUCCGAAGGGUGUGUCUUCAAAUUCAC
rnacentral:lncRNA from 1 species